rnacentral:rRNA from 1 species
ACGAACGCUGGCGGCGUGCUUAACACAUGCAAGUCGAACGGAAAGGCCUGUCCUUCCUUGUGUUGGACGGGUACUCGAGUGGCGAACGGGUGAGUAACACGUGAGUGAUCUGCCCCCAACUUGGGUAUAAGCCUGGGAAACUGGGUCUAAUUCCCGAUAGGACUGCAGGGUGGUGCCUGUGGUGGAAAACGAUUUUCUAGUGGUUGGGGAUGAGCUCGCGGCCUAUCAGCUUGUUGGUGGGGUAAUGGCCUACCAAGGCGGCGACGGGUAGCCGGCCUGAGAGGGUGGACGGCCACAUUGGGACUGAGAUACGGCCCAGACUCCUACGGGAGGCAGCAGUGGGGAAUAUUGCACCAUGGGCGGAAGCCUGAUGCAGCGACGCCGCGUGGGGGAUGACGGCCUUCGGGUUGUAAACUCCUUUCGACCGCGAGGAAGCCGCCUGGUUGGAAGGGUGGUGACGGUAGUGGUAGAAGAAGCACCGGCUAACUACGUG